rnacentral:tRNA from 1 species
ACCUGGCUGGCUCAGUGGGUAGAGCAUGGGACUCUUAAUUCAGGAUUGUGAGUUUAAGUGUCAUGUGGGGUA